rnacentral:rRNA from 1 species
GACGAACGCUGGCGGCGUGCUUAACACAUGCAAGUCGAACGGAAAGGCCCUGCUUUUGUGGGGUGCUCGAGUGGCGAACGGGUGAGUAACACGUGAGUAACCUGCCCUUGACUUUGGGAUAACUUCAGGAAACUGGGGCUAAUACCGGAUAGGAGCUCCUGCUGCAUGGUGGGGGUUGGAAAGUUUCGGCGGUUGGGGAUGGACUCGCGGCUUAUCAGCUUGUUGGUGGGGUAGUGGCUUACCAAGGCUUUGACGGGUAGCCGGCCUGAGAGGGUGACCGGCCACAUUGGGACUGAGAUACGGCCCAGACUCCUACGGGAGGCAGCAGUGGGGAAUAUUGCACAAUGGGCGGAAGCCUGAUGCAGCAACGCCGCGUGCGAGAUGACGGCCUUCGGGUUGUAAACCGCUUUCGCCUGUGACGAAGCGUGAGUGACGGUAAUGGGUAAAGAAGCACCGGCUAACUACGUGCCAGCAGCCGCGGUGAUACGUAGGGUGCGAGCGUUGUCCGGAUUUAUUGGGCGUAAAGGGCUCGUAGGUGGUUGAUCGCGUCGGAAGUGUAAUCUUGGGGCUUAACCCUGAGCGUGCUUUCGAUACGGGUUGACUUGAGGAAGGUAGGGGAGAAUGGAAUUCCUGGUGGAGCGGUGGAAUGCGCAGAUAUCAGGAGGAACACCAGUGGCGAAGGCGGUUCUCUGGGCCUUUCCUGACGCUGAGGAGCGAAAGCGUGGGGAGCGAACAGGCUUAGAUACCCUGGUAGUCCACGCUGUAAACGGUGGGUACUAGGUGUGGGGUCCAUUCCACGGGUUCCGUGCCGUAGCUAACGCUUUAAGUACCCCGCCUGGGGAGUACGGCCGCAAGGCUAAAACUCAAAGGAAUUGACGGGGCCCCGCACAAGCGGCGGAGCAUGCGGAUUAAUUCGAUGCAACGCGUAGAACCUUACCUGGGUUUGACAUGGAUCGGGAGUGCUCAGAGAUGGGUGUGCCUCUUUUGGGGUCGGUUCACAGGUGGUGCAUGGCUGUCGUCAGCUCGUGUCGUGAGAUGUUGGGUUAAGUCCCGCAACGAGCGCAACCCUUGUUCACUGUUGCCAGCACGUUAUGGUGGGGACUCAGUGGAGACCGCCGGGGUCAACUCGGAGGAAGGUGGGGAUGACGUCAAGUCAUCAUGCCCCUUAUGUCCAGGGCUUCACGCAUGCUACAAUGGCUGGUACAGAGAGUGGCGAGCCUGUGAGGGUGAGCGAAUCUCGGAAAGCCGGUCUCAGUUCGGAUUGGGGUCUGCAACUCGACCUCAUGAAGUCGGAAUCGCUAGUAAUCGCAGAUCAGCAACGCUGCGGUGAAUACGUUCCCGGG